rnacentral:lncRNA from 1 species
AUUUUUAAAAAUCAUUCCAAUCCAUUUCAUCCAUUUUAAACCAUUACAUCUGAUUCCAUACAAGAAAAUACAAAAUUUGGCAUUUUUGACCAACUGUUGACUUUGGUCAACAAUUGACUUUUUGGUUAACUUUGACCAAAGUCAACCCAAAUCCAUUAAACCCUAAAUUCACCCAUAAUUGUCCAUUGAAUAUCCAUUUACAAAGAAAUCACAAAGAAAAUACAUUUUGACCAUUUGUUGACUUUGGUCAACAGUUGACUUUGGGUCAAAUUUGACCAAAGUCAACUUUUACUUGUUAUUGCCCAUCCAACUUGGCCUGGCCUUUUUCUUCAAUACAUCACCCAAUCUUCAUUUGUUGUUGAUUUUUAUUGGUUUCUUCCAUUGCAAGCAAGUCCCAUUGUGCAAACCAUGUUGUCUUGACCAUGAACCAAUAACCAUUUGCCUUGGGCUUGCCCUAACCAUUGACCAAGGAGUUCCCUAACAGCUUAACCAUUGUGCAACAAAUCCAUGGAUGCAUAUGGUUUAGCCAAUGUUGUUGUCACAACUCAUGUCACAUAUUGCUUUACAACAACACCAUACCACCAUCAUGCUAGCUUGCUACAACACAUUGCUGCCACAAACUCAUCAGGAAAUGGCAUUGGAUAAGCAUAUCAUAUCAGUUUGCAAAUAAGCCUAAGUUAACAUGCAGCCAUGUUCAUUGCUUGGUACCUGUCACAGCAAUAACCAAACCUGCAAAAAAAACCCGUUGGCAGCAUGUUAUAAAUCUCAAAUAAAAGCAAGCCAUGAGGGAAGGUCUAGCUGCUACUUAUCCAGGUCAGGAGGAAAUCUGCUUGCAGCAGACCACUAACAGGACCAACAUGCACACUGAACCCAACAUGUGUGAAUCCUGUGGAAAAUGUCACUUCCUGACCAAGACACUAACCAAAUGAUGAAGCCAAACCAUGACCAUUGGCUUAAUGGAUUUCCUGCAGCAGAAUCAAUGUUGACCAUGUGUAGCCUUGAACCAAGCAUCCUACACAAUUUUAAAUCUUGCAGCAGUCCACCCCACUACACAUCAUUUCUAACCAAAGUAAAGUCAGUUCAAGCUACAACCUGUUGCACACACUUUGCCUUGCUUGAUAUUUUGUAGCAACACCAUAAGCACAUAACCAGUGGAACCUAUACUUGGCCUUGAGUUUGUCAUGGUGAUAAUGGCAUGGAAGCUUCAACCUUAAACAUCCUGCUCACAAUCCAACACAACAGUCACGACACAUGCGAUGCAGCUUUGCAUAUUGAACCUAACACAGAAACCUGUAACACAGUUAAUUCAACGGGCAGUUCAGCCAAAUCCUAGCAAACCACAACCAUCAAUACUCCUACAUUUAGUUCUGCAGCAUAUAAAUUGGAACCAGGACAAGAACCCUGCUAUAAGACUAAUCACACUGCAUCAUCAAACCAGCUAAUGUGUAAGCUUCAUACAACAGACCUGCUGUGAUCCUGCAGUACAACAUAUUGCCAUGCCAUAACUUGGUCAUUCUUGCCUUACCUUGCCACACACUGCUUUGCAUUUUGCCUUACCUACCAUGACAAACCAGUCCUGCAUUCACCAAUAAUCAAAUAAAUUCAAACAUGUUAGAGGUUAUGCUAACAAAUCCAACCAUACAUGACCAAGAAAAUGACAUGAUGAUGCAAACAAUAUCCAAGUCAUGACCAAAACAAUCAACAAAAAGAAAGCCACACAUCAUUAACUCAACUCAUCCUGUCAAAGAAUUAUGACCAAGCAAAACUGAAGUUGAACCUACCAUUCACCAUCAAUGGCUAAAGGAACAUGAGGCACCUCAAUUCAUAUUACCUGUUCCAAGCAUCCAUCAACUAUCAGCUAAGUUGUCUAGCCAAUUUGGAGUAAGAAUUGCAACAAGAGAAUGAAACCACAAACGCCUUAUCCUAAUUCAUAAGACUAUUUUGCUAGCAACUAGCAGCUGAACUAGUCAUCAAGUCAGGAUUGCUGCAAGCCUUGAGAUUAUGAGCUGCUACAUGAGUAAAAUCUGUAAGCAGGCUAUCAAUUUGACCACAAGUGAACCAAAACCAAGGCAAUGCUACAAGUUGCUACACCCUGUUACAAGACAGAACCAAUAGCCUGCAAAACAGUUAAUGCAUUUCCAUGGACCUUGAGCAGAAACAAGCCAAUGAUGCAUCACAUUACCCAAGAGUUAAUGGUUAAGGGGAGAUACCUUGAUCCAAGCUACAUGGCCUUUGGUUUUGAUUGAGUCAGAGGGUAACAUCAUGCUCCAUUGAACUGGCCUAAAUGUUGCAUUUUCAAAUGUGAGUAGCUCAUGAAACCAUCAUCACAGCAGUGGAACACACAUCUAAACAACAUCUCAUACCAAACCUGCAUCAAGACUUCAUAUCACACCAAACCACAUCAGUCUUACACAAGCACCACCCUGCAACAUCCAUGUCCAUCAUCAAGCCAAGGCAUAGCAGUUACAAUGAAGUUCUUGGUGAAAGCAGUCAGCUGGUCAGUCCAAAGCAUCAUGAUAUAACUUGGCAAAUGCAUGUUGUUGAACCUGUUUUGGACUGUUGCAGAAGCACAUUGAAGCCAUGCCAAACCUCCAAAGCCAUUGAAUUUCCCAACCAAGCACAUCACAGGCCCUGAAAAAAUUUGUCCCAUGAAGUGGAUUCAGCAAACAAGAUCAAAGUCUGCAGUAAAAAAAAAGGGAGCAUGAGCCAUUAGUGGAGCAUAUGAAAAAUGAUCAAAAAGAGGAUGUACAUGUUAAACUUGCAAUGUAUUGAAUCCAAUCAUAGGCUAAACAUCACUCAAUGACCAGUUCAGUAGGUUUCCUCUAAUUCAUUGGUUUAAUCCUAAGCCUAAAGUUACCUGCUACAUCCAGUACACAUCCAAAACACCAUUAACCUUUUGUUUCAUCAUGAAGUCACUUAAACUCCAUUGAAACUAACCCAACAUGACUUCAACUCAUUAAUCACCAAAGGAAAAACCUGCUCAGUAGUUCACCAUUCAUGAACAUGUUCAAUUCCACUUAAACUAACCUACAAUAGCCAGUCUAAUUCAUUCACUCAUUAAUCAAUCUCAACUACUUAGUUGAUUCUAACUAACUGAGUUUCACCAUGAACUCAGUGAGUUGAAUGCAACUAACUCCAAGCCUAAAUAACUGUCUCCAAUCCUAAUUCCAAUCCAAAAAUAAUCCCAAACCUAGACUCUAUAUAAACAGUGGAUCACUCUCAUUUUCCAUCACUUUGAACCCUGCGAAUUCUGAGCCAUUUCUCUGCAAUCUCUCUCACCCUCACUAAACCUCUUACUCUCUCUCACAAGAAAAGCCAUUGAAGCUUCACAUUGAAGCUUCAAUUCAGCUUUAGUUAAGCCCCUUCACACUCUAUUAUCAAGUUUCAGAAGAAGAAGGAGACGAAGAGAAGAAGAAGAAGGAAGAAUUAAGGUCAGGAAGCUUACCGGCGAAUUCUCCGAUCAUCUUCUCCGAUAUGUCAGUUAGGUUUCGUUAUCACUUUCUUGCUCUGAGUGUACCGGCACGUAGCCUUUAGGCGGAGAAAUGAAAACCCCAUGGUAUUAGGCAUUAAUCUCCAGUGAGAGUCGUGUAAUUGAACUUUGAAUAGGCUAGGUCUCUUCCGUUGCUAGGAGCGAUUCCAUGAAUCCUUUAGUUGUUGCUCAAUUCCGUUACCACAGGCGUGUCUAGCGUGUUAUGAUGCUUAGGUUGGUAAGGUAUAAGAGGACACCGGAACCGUCAACGGCCGCCGGUGCGGUGGGCCAAGGAGGACAGACGAUGAGAUGAGUUUG